UACUCUGUAGAGUCUGCAUAUCAAUAAGCGGAGGAAAAGAAACUAACUAGGAUUCCCUUAGUAACGGCGAGUGAAGCGGGAAGAGCUCAAAUUUGAAAUCUUCAAGGUUUUACCUUGACGAAUUGUAGUUUAAAGAAGUGUUUUCUGUUGGUGUUUUGGUAAAAGUUCUUUGGAAUAGGACAUCAUAGAGGGUGAGAAUCCCGUAUUUGACCAUUAAUUCCAGCGUUGUGAUACACUUUCAAAGAGUCGGAUUGUUUGGGAAUGCAGUCCAAAGUGGGUGGUAAAUUUCAUCUAAAGCUAAAUAUUGGCGAGAGACCGAUAGCGAACAAGUACCGUGAGGGAAAGAUGAAAAGAACUUUGAAAGGAGAGUUAAACAGUACGUGAAAUUGUCAAAAGGGAAGCGUUUGACACCAGUGUUGUUUUCUCGAAAAUCAAUUAAAAAAGGCAGGAUUUUGUGUUGUAUUGACUUUAUCAGCUUUCUGCACUCUUUUCUUGUCUUUUUUAAUGCACUUUUCGUUUAACAAGUCAACAUCAAUUUCUUUUGUUGUAAAAGGGUCAUUGGAAGGUGGCUUUCUUUUCGGAGAAAGUGUUUAUAGCCUUUGGCCUCUGCAAUCGGAGAGAUUGAGGUCUGCAGCGUAGAUCCUUCGGGGUUAGAUACAUUUGUGCUAAGUUAUAGCCUUUCAUAGACAACUUGUUGACUAUGAUCAGUCAUGUAGCUUACUCGCUUAUGCUAUUUUACCUACGCUUAGGAUGUUGAAGUCAUCGUAUCGCGC
rnacentral:rRNA from 1 species